rnacentral:rRNA from 1 species
GUCUUCAGCCAUACCACCCUGAACACACCUAAUCUCUUCUAAUGUUGGAAGCUAAGCAGGGUUAGGCCUAGUUAGUACUGAGAUGGAAGAAGACA